UUAAGCGACUAAGCGUACACGGUGGAUGCCCUGGCAGUCAGAGGCGAUGAAGGACGUGCUAAUCUGCGAAAAGCGUCGGUAAGGUGAUAUGAACCGUUACAGCCGGCGAUGUCCGAAUGGGGAAACCCAGUGCAAUUCGUUGCACUAUCGUUAACUGAAUACAUAGGUUAACGAGGCGAACCGGGGGAACUGAAACAUCUAAGUACCCCGAGGAAAAGAAAUCAACCGAGAUUCCCCCAGUAGCGGCGAGCGAACGGGGAGCAGCCCAGAGUCUGAAUCAGCUUGUGUGUUAGUGGAACGGUCUGGAAAGUCCGACGGUACAGGGUGAUAGUCCCGUACACCAAAAUGCACAGGCUGUGAACUCGAAGAGUAGGGCGGGACACGUGGUAUCCUGUCUGAAUAUGGGGGGACCAUCCUCCAAGGCUAAAUACUCCUGACUGACCGAUAGUGAACCAGUACCGUGAGGGAAAGGCGAAAAGAACCCCGGCGAGGGGAGUGAAAAAAGAACCUGAAACCGUGUACGUACAAGCAGUGGGAGCACCUUCGGGUGUGACUGCGUACCUUUUGUAUAAUGGGGUCAGCGACUUAUAUUCUGUAGCAAGGUUAACCGUAUAGGGGAGCGCAGGGAAACCGAGUCUUAACUGGGCGUUAAGUUGCAGGGUAUAGACCCGAAACCCGGUGAUCUAGCCAUGGGCAGGUUGAAGGUUGGGUAACACUAACUGGAGGACCGAACCGACUAAUGUUGAAAAAUUAGCGGAUGACUUGUGGCUGGGGGUGAAAGGCCAAUCAAACCGGGAGAUAGCUGGUUCUCCCCGAAAGCUAUUUAGGUAGCGCCUCGUGAAUUCAUCUUCGGGGGUAGAGCACUGUUUCGGCUAGGGGGUCAUCCGACUUACCAACCCGAUGCAAACUACGAAUACCGAAGAAUGUUAUCACGGGAGACACACGGCGGGUGCUAACGUCCGUCGUGAAGAGGGAAACAACCCAGACCGCCAGCUAAGGUCCCAAAGUCAUGGUUAAGUGGGAAACGAUGUGGGAAGGCACAGACAGCCAGGAUGUUGGCUUAGAAGCAGCCAUCAUUUAAAGAAAGCGUAAUAGCUCACUGGUCGAGUCGGCCUGCGCGGAAGAUGUAACGGGGCUAAACCAUGCACCGAAGCUGCGGCAGCGACACUAUGUGUUGUUGGGUAGGGGAGCGUUCUGUAAGCCUGCGAAGGUGUGCUGUGAGGCAUGCUGGAGGUAUCAGAAGUGCGAAUGCUGACAUAAGUAACGAUAAAGCGGUGAAAAGCCCGCUCGCCGGAAGACCAAGGGUUCCUGUCCAACGUUAAUCGGGGCAGGGUGAGUCGACCCCUAAGGCGAGGCCGAAAGGCGUAGUCGAUGGGAAACAGGUUAAUAUUCCUGUACUUGGUGUUACUGCGAAGGGGGGACGGAGAAGGCUAUGUUAGCCGGGCGACGGUUGUCCCGGUUUAAGCAUGUAGGCUGGUUAUCCAGGCAAAUCCGGAUAAUCAAGGCUGAGGUGUGAUGACGAGGCACUACGGUGCUGAAGUAACAAAUGCCCUGCUUCCAGGAAAAGCCUCUAAGCAUCAGGUAACAUCAAAUCGUACCCCAAACCGACACAGGUGGUCAGGUAGAGAAUACCAAGGCGCUUGAGAGAACUCGGGUGAAGGAACUAGGCAAAAUGGUGCCGUAACUUCGGGAGAAGGCACGCUGGUGUGUAGGUGAAGUCCCUGCGGAUGGAGCUGAGACCAGUCGAAGAUACCAGCUGGCUGCAACUGUUUAUUAAAAACACAGCACUGUGCAAACACGAAAGUGGACGUAUACGGUGUGACGCCUGCCCGGUGCCGGAAGGUUAAUUGAUGGGGUUAUCCGUAAGGAGAAGCUCUUGAUCGAAGCCCCGGUAAACGGCGGCCGUAACUAUAACGGUCCUAAGGUAGCGAAAUUCCUUGUCGGGUAAGUUCCGACCUGCACGAAUGGCGUAAUGAUGGCCAGGCUGUCUCCACCCGAGACUCAGUGAAAUUGAACUCGCUGUGAAGAUGCAGUGUACCCGCGGCAAGACGGAAAGACCCCGUGAACCUUUACUAUAGCUUGACACUGAACAUUGAGCCUUGAUGUGUAGGAUAGGUGGGAGGCUUUGAAGCGUGGACGCCAGUCUGCGUGGAGCCAACCUUGAAAUACCACCCUUUAAUGUUUGAUGUUCUAACGUUGGCCCCUGACCGGGGUUGCGGACAGUGUCUGGUGGGUAGUUUGACUGGGGCGGUCUCCUCCCAAAGCGUAACGGAGGAGCACGAAGGUUAGCUAAUCCUGGUCGGACAUCAGGAGGUUAGUGCAAUGGCAUAAGCUAGCUUGACUGCGAGCGUGACGGCGCGAGCAGGUGCGAAAGCAGGUCAUAGUGAUCCGGUGGUUCUGAAUGGAAGGGCCAUCGCUCAACGGAUAAAAGGUACUCCGGGGAUAACAGGCUGAUACCGCCCAAGAGUUCAUAUCGACGGCGGUGUUUGGCACCUCGAUGUCGGCUCAUCACAUCCUGGGGCUGAAGUAGGUCCCAAGGGUAUGGCUGUUCGCCAUUUAAAGUGGUACGCGAGCUGGGUUUAGAACGUCGUGAGACAGUUCGGUCCCUAUCUGCCGUGGGCGCUGGAGAAUUGAGGGGGGCUGCUCCUAGUACGAGAGGACCGGAGUGGACGCAUCACUGGUGUUCGGGUUGUCAUGCCAAUGGCACUGCCCGGUAGCUAAAUGCGGAAGAGAUAAGUGCUGAAAGCAUCUAAGCACGAAACUUGCCCCGAGAUGAGUUCUCCCUGAGACUUUAAGUCUCCUGAAGGAACGUUAAAGACGAUGACGUUGAUAGGCCGGGUGUGUAAGCGCAGCGAUGCGUGAGCUAACCGGUACUAAUGAACCGUGAGGCUUAACCUU
rnacentral:rRNA from 1 species